rnacentral:rRNA from 1 species
UACGGGGGGGGCAAGCGUUGUUCGGAAUUACUGGGCGUAAAGGGCUCGUAGGCGGCCAACUAAGUCAGACGUGAAAUCCCUCGGCUUAACCGGGGAACUGCGUCUGAUACUGGAUGGCUCGAGUUCGGGAGAGGGAUGCGGAAUUCCAGGUGUAGCGGUGAAAUGCGCAGAUAUCAGGAAGAACACCCGUGGCUAAGGCGGCUCUCUAGUACGUGACUGACGCUGAGACGCGAAAGCGUGGGGAGCGAACAGG